CUGCAUGGUUGUCGUCAGCUCGUGCCGUGAGGUGUCGGGUUAAGUCCCAUAACGACGCGCAACCCCUACCUUUAGUUGCCAUCAGGUAAUGGCUGGGGACUCUAAAGGAACUGCCUACGCAAGUAGUGAGGAAGGCGGGGAUGACGUCAAAUCAGCACGGCCCUUACGUCCAGGGCUACACACGUGCUACAAUGGCCGAUACAGAGGGCAGCUACCUGGUGACAGGAUGCCAAAUCUCCAAAGUCGGUCUCAGUUCGGAUCGGAGUCUGCAACCCGACUCCGUGAAGUUGGAUUCGCUAGUAAUCGCGCAUCAGCCAUGGCGCGGUGAAUACGGUUCCCGGGCCUU
rnacentral:rRNA from 1 species